GAUGAAGAACGCAGCGAAAUGCGAUAAGUAGUGUGAAUUGCAGAAUUCAGUGAAUCAUCGAAUCUUUGAACGCACAUUGCGCCCCUUGGUAUUCCAUGGGGCAUGCCUGUUCGAGCGUCAUUUGUACCUUCAAGCUUUGCUUGGUGUUGGGUGUUUGUCCUGAGGGACUCGCCUUAAAGUAAUUGGCAGCCAGUGUUUUGGUUUUGAAGCGCAGCACAAGUCGCGAUUCAAAGCUAUACGCCAGCUUCCACAAGCCUUUUUCACUUUUGACCUCGGAUCAGGUAGGGAUACCCGCUGAACUUAAGCAUAUCAUAAGCGGAGGA
rnacentral:misc_RNA from 1 species